UAUAAAAGGAGAAGAGAAAAGGACCUGGAGCACACUGUCUGUUAACAGGAACAACUUGGAUGAAGAUCCAGAAGAGACAGAAAAUGAUCAGCCAGGUGUGAUGCUAUAGUAUAAGAUUUUUCAUGCACAAAAAGCCUGCUAAAUUGAUAUUACAUAUUUGAAUAAGAGGCAAAGUUAGCAAAAGAGCUUGGAACAGGAAAGACCUUCUUUGUGAUUCUUGCUAUAAGAGAUUGCAUGGAGUUAAUUUUUUUCAGGAGACUUAAGGAAAGACUGAAAAAUUUUAAAAGGAAGAAGCUGAUAUGAAGAAACCAGGACUUGAACAUGUCUCUGAUUUCCAGUCUACUUCACUAAAGUCUUGAGAUUUUCCCUGGGAUAAAAUUAGAAAACUAAUUCUCUAAGAUUAUGGGAUUGUUUUUACUUUUCCCAGUGUAACUAUAUUUUUCACUUGAUGAAAUUUUCUUCUUCCAAGAUUCCUGGCCUACAGAUAGUACUUUACAAUAUAUUUUAUGAAAAGAGAUGCCUAAGAGCAUUAUGAGAUCCUUUUAGUUUACAGAUAUCUCUCCCUUGUAUCUGAAACCUCCUGAAUGUAUUGUUUUCCAUUAAUAAAAUGUGAACAACUUGAAUCCA